rnacentral:rRNA from 1 species
CGCGUAGUUAGCCGUGGCUUUCUGGUUAGGUACCGUCAAGGUGCCGCCCUAUUCGAACGGUACUUGUUCUUCCCUAACAACAGAGUUUUACGAUCCGAAAACCUUCAUCACUCACGCGGCGUUGCUCCGUCAGACUUUCGUCCAUUGCGGAAGAUUCCCUACUGCUGCCUCCCGUAGGAGUCUGGGCCGUGUCUCAGUCCCAGUGUGGCCGAUCACCCUCUCAGGUCGGCUACGCAUCGUCGCCUUGGUGAGCCAUUACCUCACCAACUAGCUAAUGCGCCGCGGGUCCAUCUGUAAGUGGUAGCUAAAAGCCACCUUUUAUGAUUGGAACCAUGCGGUUCAAUCAAGCAUCCGGUAUUAGCCCCGGUUUCCCGGAGUUAUCCCAGUCUUACAGGCAGGUUACCCACGUGUUACUCACCCGUCCGCCGCUGACCUAAGGGAGCAAGCUCCCGUCGGUCCGCUCGACUUGCAUGUAUUAGGCACGCCGCCAGCGUCGUCCUCGAGCCAGGAGUCAAACUACUA